rfam:Aedes albopictus isolate Foshan contig61754, whole genome shotgun sequence.
UGCCCAGCAAUUCCUAUCCCUACCUCCACGCGGUACCGGCCGGAAACUAUGAGCAACCUUAGGGAAGAUCGAGUAACCAACCCCGGUGGGAACUUUGGUCGUAGGCAGACAGGGAAGG